rnacentral:rRNA from 1 species
AAACCGGAGGAAGGUGGGGAUGACGUCAAAUCAUCAUGCCCCUUAUGACCUGGGCUACACACGUGCUACAAUGGUUGGUACAACGAGUUGCGAGUCGGUGACGGCGAGCUAAUCUCUUAAAGCCAAUCUCAGUUCGGAUUGUAGGCUGCAACUCGCCUACAUGAAGUCGGAAUCGCUAGUAAUCGCGGAUCAGCACGCCGCGGUGAAUACGUUCCCGGGCCUU